rnacentral:rRNA from 1 species
AUUGAACGCUGGCGGAAUGCUUUACACAUGCAAGUCGAACGGCAGCACGGGGGCAACCCUGGUGGCGAGUGGCGAACGGGUGAGUAAUACAUCGGAACGUGCCCAGUCGUGGGGGAUACCGUCUCGAACGUUACGCUAAUACCGCAUACGAUCUACGGAUGCAAGCGGGGGACCGUAAGUCCUCGCGCUCUUGUCGCGGCCGAUGUCAGAUUAGGUAGUUGGUGAGGUAAAGGCUCACCAAGCCGACGAUCUGUAGCUGGUCUGAGAGGACGACCAGCCACACUGGAACUGAGACAAGGGAGAGACUCCGAAGGGAGGCAGCAGUGGGGAAUUUUGUAAAAGGGACGCAAGGCGGAGGCAGCCAUGAAGAGGGCAGGAUGAAGGCACUCGGGUGGGAAACUGCUUUUGUACGGAACGAAAAGGUGGCAAUUAAUACGGGGAGCUCAUGAAGGGACAGUAAGAAUAAGCAACGGCUAACUAAGGGCCAGCCGCCGCCGUAA